GACGAACGCUGGCGGCGUGCUUAACACAUGCAAUUCGAACGGAAAGACCCUGCUUUUGUGGGGUGCUCCAGUGUCGAACGGGUGAGUAACACGUGAGUAACCUGCCCUUGACUUUGGGAUAACUUCAUGAAACUGUGGCUAAUACCGGAUAGGAGCUCCUGCUGCAUGGUGGGGGUUGGAAAGUUUCGGCGGUUGGGGAUGGACUCGCGGCUUAUCAUCUUGUUGGUGGGGUAGUGGCUUACCAAGGCUUUGACGGGUAGCCGGCCUGAGAGGGUGACCGGCCACAUUGGGGCAAGGAUACGGCCCAGACUCCUACGGGAAGCAGCAGUGAGGAAUAUUGCACAAUGGGCGGAAGCCUGAUGCAGCAACGCCGCGUGCGGGAUGACGGCCUUCGGGUUGUAAACCGCUUUCGCCUGUGACGAAGCGUGAGUAACGGUAAUGGGUAAAGAAGCACCGACUAACUACGUG
rnacentral:rRNA from 1 species